CGCAGACGGAGAGAGUUUAGGACUGGGUCUUUGCGGGCGAGAUGUAGUUAAAUCCCAACUGGCCUACGAAGUCCCAGUUCUUGGCUCUCGAGGGCUCCG